GCCCUGUACAAAGCCCUGCCCGCCCCCCGGGGCCACGCAGGGACCUGGUUCCGGCCGCUUCCCGGAGCGGCGCGGCAUGGGGCCAGGGCAGGCAGGGAGUCUGCCCUGGCCCCGGUGCAUGCCGCUGCCACCCCUUAGCCACUUUAGGCUUUGAAGACACCAGGAGCUGGAGAAUCCACCACUUCCCUUGGGAGUUUGUCCUCAUGGUUAAUCACCCUCACGGUGGAAAACUGGUGCCUUAUUUCUAAUUUGAAUGAAUCUUUCUUCAGCUUCCAACCAUCGGUUCUUGUUCUGCCUUUGUGAAAGGAGCAUUCUGGGGGGAAGAAAGCGGGUUCUCAGGCACCACUGAUCUUGAGAAAGCCCCACUCCUGUGAUACAAAUAUCUAUUAGCUGGGGACACCUGAAAAGUGUGUCUACUUCAUGUUGGGCCCAUUCGUGCUAACCCCCCAUCCCAUGCAAUAUAAGGCUGUGUUUAUUUCUAAUUUCCCCUUUGGAAGGUCCCAUUUCACCCCUACCCCUAAUACAGAGCUUUGUUUACUCUCCCCCCGCCCCAGUUUAAGUGGAAGGGAAACAACUAACUGCCACUCAGGGCUGGGGAAGGACCUUCUCAGCCUGAGAGGGAGGAUGGAAAAUUAUCCCCAGACAUAGGAAUUUUAACUCCCAUGUUGAAAAGGAGUCACUAAUACAAGGGGAGGGGUUUUUCUUUUAAAACUCCUGACAGGGCAACAAAAACAAAAAUAAAAUGGGCUCCCCAGAUACUUUAUUACUGUCCCCACCACCAGCAGCAAGAUGGUUCAAUUCAGAGCAAAGCAAGACACUAACCGUCUCAAUGAACCAUUUCGACAGUGGGUGGGGAGAAGAGGGGAAAUAAAAUGCCAAAGGCUCAAAAUUGACCUGCUUCAUUUUUAUUUUCCACAUUUUUAAAUGCACAGAUUCAUGGAUUCCAAGGCCAGAAGGGGCCAGUGUGACCAUCUAGUCUGACCUCCCAUGUAACACAGGCCAGAGAACGGCCCCAAAAUCAUUCCUAGAGCAGAGCUUUUAGGAAAACAUCCCAACUUGAUUUUAAAAAAAUCAAUAGAUUUGAGGGUUUGGUGAGGGAUCCCCCCUCCCCCCGUGAGAAUGGGACCUUCCAAAGUGGCAGUUAUGGCAGUUGGCCAGACCCUUCCUCUGCCCCCACAGUGUCAGGCUCACAACUGCUGAGCUCACAGUGUCAGGGGAGGGCUCAGCAGUCGUGGCCAGGCCUGAACUGGGGGUAAUUUCAUCCCCACAGCCUAUGGCAGGGUGGGGUUUAACUGGUGUGACUGAAUGCACCCCUAUAUUCACACCCUAAACACUCCUGAAAUUACCUUUGUAUAAUAUAUGCCUUGUAAGGUAUCAUUUCAAAUCUAAUAACUUUCUGAUCAAUAAUAUCUUGGUAAAAUGUAUGUAGCAAUGUUAUGUGUAAAGUUAUGAACAUAAGCUGGAAUCAUGUGUUUACCAGACAAGUCUGGGAAGUGGGCAAACCCGUCCCUUAAAGACAAGGAGCAAGCUGAUGCCCCAGCCAGGUGCCAUCAAAAGUGAUGGGCCAUCACCUACCAAGUGGCCAUUCUUUUGGCAAGGAAAAGGGUAGGAACAAACAGAUUUGAUCUAGGCAAUCAAUAGUGUAAAAUCUCCCCCUCAUGAGACUCCAUGUCUCCUUGCUUUCAGCUGCAAAGAACUUUAUGUAAGGGUCAUUCUCAGGGAAAUGCAUUUCAAAGGGUGACUGAAGUGAGGGGCAAAAGCACUCCAAGUUAUCUCUCCCUGUCCUUCUCUCUCUUUUCCACCUGAGAUGACAAAAUAAUUCAGCUCUUUAACUUUGGGAGGAAUCCUAACCUGAAGAUUGGUCAGUACGGCAGUUGGAAGCACAUGGUACAAAUUUCACCUUAAACCAAACCUACUUUGUAAAGAUUUAGUACUACAAAGCAUUUUAUCUUUAUUUUUCUUCUAACAAUUUCUGACUUUAAUGCUUUAAUACUUGUACUCACUUAAAACCUAUCUCUUUAUAGUUAAAUACACUUUUUUGUUCUUUAAUCAAAAUUAAUCCGGUGUUGUCAGUUGGUCUGCCUGUCUGUCCUGAAUCCAUUGGGGUGAGGUGGGGCAUGAUUCUUCUGAGACCAGCUCAGGAGCGAGGAGGGGGUAUCCCCCAUUGACAGGAGAAUGAGCAGAGUCAGGCCCAGAGCUAACUCUUCCGAGGUGAUAACUCCCCUUUAAAUCACUGCACAAACUGAGAUGGUCCCCAGCACCAGGGAUUGGUCAACUGCACUUGCCCAUCUCCAUGUGCAAAACAUUCCUUGCACCCAGUGUGAGCUCAUAGCUUUCCUGCCCCCUGGCACUAAGAGCUCCCUGAUGGGCAUGUCUCAUCGUCCUCCUCAAACACAGAGACCAGGCCCCUUGAGCCUGAAUCUUUUUGUACAUAAUAAUGUCAUUAGGACUGUAGUGAGGCAGAGUGGCCUCCCACUGAGCCAGAGGGGGAGAAGCCACUCUCUGAUCCUUGGUGGGUGGAACCUGGCCAUGCCCACUUCUCCUGCUAUGCCCUGCCUCUACAGGAGACUGACCCUGGAGAAGAGUUGCUAGGACGGCCGCUCACUCUAUACCCCGAGAAGACAAAGGACCCCUGGACUACCCCUCGCCCAGACCAUAGUAGGAAGUAGCCCAGGGGAACCGUCCAUGGUCCGGUUUUGCUGUUAGACCCCAAGUCAGUGUGUUGCAGUAGGCUCCCCGCUGACCCAGUGGUGGAACACUCUGCCACUGUUAGGGCCCUAGUCUGGGACCCUGUGGAGGAGGUUGGGCCUGGGUCCCCCUAGCCCCUGCUGCCAACUCCACUUCGUGGUGGCAGCCUCCCCACCUUAGGCCAAGAGGCUUGCAUUUGUCUGCCGUCUGUCAGGCAAUAGACUGUUUGUUUGCUCUACCCUGCCUAAGGACCUCAGGGGCCUAGACCAUCUUGGCCCUGUCUAACCACCGAGACCACAGAUUCUCGUGCUCGAUUAGCUAAUUCCCCAGUAGUGGGCCGUGCCCCAGUGACAUAGUGAGGUGGAGUGGCCUCCCACUGAGCCAGAGAGGGAGGGACGACCACUAAUCCACUACAAGGACAAGCUAAGAAUACCAGGCAAUGAAGCAGAGUGAGGUGCCUGGAAACAGUGUCCCCACUCCCUGCUGCUAAAUGUCAGAGCUGAGAUCCUAGAACAUCUCAGUGUUAGUGGCAUUCAAGUGUUGCUUCCGCUUCCAGGGACAAAGACUUGAGUUAUUCAGAAAAAGAUCCAUUAUAACAGGCAGCAGCUCUCUGACCCCUGUAAUGUAUCAGUCCUUCAUCCCUGCCCUUCCCUGUGAUCAGUGCAGUGAGGGGUACAGAGGAGGCAUCACAGCCUUUCAGUUACUCAGGAGCAGGAAGCUCCUUGUCAGUCUCUUGGUGAGAAACUUUCCUCAUUUUUUCAUUUUGCAAACUGAAACCCCCCAGAGGAAAUAAAAUAAUACACUGCAUCUGUGGGGGUUGAGGGGAAGGAGCUGCAGUGAGUGACUGGCCUGGGAGAAACCAGGCAGCCCUCACUCCAGUUGUCUCCUCUGUCCUACCUACAGCCCAUAAUGCCCUCUCAAUGGGAUGUUCAGAUGCUGACCCCAUGCUGACCUAGUGCCUGGUUAAAAUGGGGAGGUGGGGGCAUUUCAAGGCAGGUUCAGGGUCUAGCUUCUGUCUAAAGGCUUUGGGGAGAAGGAUCAGGCGAGAGCAAGCAGCAGUUCCCCCUUAUCACAUACAAGGGCCAGGUCUCUCUCCCCUGUGAGUUCUCUGAACAGAUUACUUUUGGGAGCGAAGGCAUACUUAAGCAUGACAGAAGCCUGUUGUGGAUUUUACAGGCCUGUUCUGAUAAUGCUUAACAGCAUAAGUAGAACUGUGUAUGUGUAAAAAAUUGCAGAGUAAUCGUGUCUGUGAGAGCCACAAAACAUAAAGUAAUUAAAAAGCUAGAAAAGACCAGUUUGAACUAACACUAAACCUGUACUGAUGGGGUAAGGGGUGAGGAAUUAACAUGGAAAUGAGACUAAUAAAUAUAUGUAAGAAAAGAUAUCAAAAAGUAAUUAAUAAGUUUGUGUAACAUAGGGAGGUUGAAAUUGUAUUGUCCAGUGCUGGAGAUGAUGGUGAUGAGAUAGACCUAAUGAACUUCUCACUUGGAAGUAAUUGAUCACAGCUUGCUGAGUGCUUUGCCUUAAUAAAUAUUUGUUAGAUCCACCUGCUCCGUAAAUGAACCUCAAUCCAACAUUCUGGUGAGACAGCCAAACACUCUGCAGAUUGGGCUAACAGCCAAUAUUCCAGGAACCACAACCUACGGCUAUUGAGGGGUGUGACAGAAUGUAUCUCUAUGUUUACACCCUAUAUGCUAUUGUAAUAAUCUUUGUACAAAGUAUGCAUUGAGAGGUAUCAUUUGAAAUCUCAGAAUUUGCUGGUCAUUGCCCUGAUAAAAUGUGUGUAGCAAAAUUGUAAGUGAAGUUAUAAGGUUCCACUGUAUGGUGUUCUUAACAUAUAUUGCAAACAGGCCUGUCUCAAACAAAGGAAUGGGUGCCUGUCUUAAUUUACAUUUUAAGCAGUAAACAGAGUCCUCAAGCAGAAAGGGAAACAAAAGAAGCUCCAACAGUUAAGGAAAAAGCAGCAGGGAGCAUACUUCCCUAUAGACUCUCUCUCUCCUAAAUCUCAUCUGCAAAUGUUUUCCAAGAGGGAGACUGACACUAUAAAAUGAAGAGACAAAUACCCAGUGCCCCCUCCCCUCCUCUCUCUUUCUCUACAUCAAUUGAUUCACUACACCAGGAGGGAAAAAGGAAGUGGCCAUUGAACUGGAGAAGGGGUCCUGACCUAAGAAGUUUGGUCAGCAGACUGCUGAGAGCAUAUGGUUAGGCACCAGUUGCAUUUUAUUUUCAUGUAACCAUUUCUGAUGUUUAUGGCUCAUUAUAUGGACUCAUGUAAAAUCUCUCUCUUUGUAGUUAUUAAACUUCUCGUAUUGUUUUAUCCAA